UGCAGAGGUGGCAAGCGUUGUUCGGAAUUACUGGGCGUAAAGGGCGCGUAGGCGGCCAUCUAAGUCAGACGUGAAAUCCCCCGGCUUAACCUGGGAACUGCGUCUGAUACUGGAAGGCUUGAGUAUGGGAGAGGGAUGUAGAAUUCCAGGUGUAGCGGUGAAAUGCGUAGAUAUCUGGAGGAAUACCCGUGGCGAAGGCGGCAUCCUGGACCAUUACUGACGCUGAGGCGCGAAAGCUAGGGGAGCAAACGGG
rnacentral:rRNA from 1 species